CCUACGGGUGGCUGCAGUAGGGAAUCUUCCACAAUGGGCGAAAGCCUGAUGGAGCAACGCCGCGUGGGUGAAGAAGGUCUUCGGAUCGUAAAACCCUGUUGUUAGAGAAGAAAGUGCGUGAGAGUAACUGUUCACGUUUCGACGGUAUCUAACCAGAAAGCCACGGCUAACUACGUGCCAGCAGCCGCGGUAAUACGUAGGUGGCAAGCGUUAUCCGGAUUUAUUGGGCGUAAAGGGAACGCAGGCGGUCUUUUAAGUCUGAUGUGAAAGCCUUCGGCUUAACCGGAGUAGUGCAUUGGAAACUGGGAGACUUGAGUGCAGAAGAGGAGAGUGGAACUCCAUGUGUAGCGGUGAAAUGCGUAGAGAUUAGGAAGAACACCAGUGGCGAAGGCGACUUACUGGACUGUAACUGACGCUGAGGCAUGAGAGCAUGGGGAGCAAACAGGAUUAGAUACCCUUGUAGUC
rnacentral:rRNA from 1 species